GACGAACCGUGCGAACGUUAUUCGGAAUCACUGGGCUUUAAGCGCGCGCAGGCGGCGGUGCUGGCCCGGCGUGAAAGCCCACGGCUCAACCGUGGAAGUGCCUUGGAUACUGCCAGUCUCGAGGGAGGUAGGGGCGUGCGGAACUUCCGGUGGAGCGGUGAAAUGCGUAGAUAUCGGAAGGAACACCGGUGGCGAAAGCGGCGCGCUGGACCUCUUCUGACGCUGAGGCGCGAAAGCCAGGGGAGCAAACGGG
rnacentral:rRNA from 1 species